rnacentral:lncRNA from 1 species
GAGGACAAGGCGAUUCGGGGAACACGUUACUGUGUCACGAGAGGCGCAGCGCCAGAGGCCCAAGAGAGCACGCAGUGGUACGCGGUCGAAUGGCAGCACCAGAGUGUGCAACCUGGUGCGGCGCAGCGAAGGAUAGAACGAGACGGCGAAGUGCACAAGAUCAGAACGGGUCGGGGUUCAGGAGUAGGCGGCACGGACAUUCGAGGUUCGUGGAGGCGUCUGGCGGACGUCGCUGGCCAUUGGCACGGCGGCGGCACGAAGCGGCUAAAGGUCGGCGGCUAAAGGUCGGCUCCCUCUCAUUACCUCUAUAAAUAGUAAGAACUUAUUUAUGAAUGAUGGUAAAAUGAUGAUUUGAGUCUUUGAAAUCCCUCUCUCCCUUGUUCUUCUCUUCUUCUUCCCUCUAAUUGGAUCAGCAGACUUCUUAUCUCCCUCUCCCUCGUUCCUUCUCUCUCUCUUUUCUCCCUAUUCUCUCUCUCUCUCCCUC